rnacentral:misc_RNA from 1 species
GUAUAUUAUGCAUCAAAUUCCAUUUCCUUCUACACUGGUGUAUAUGUGUGGUGUGGUAGCGACAAGGAAAGCCCACAAAAUUCAUUUUUGCAAGCAGUCCCAAGGACCUGAGGAAGCCCUCAGAAAAGGUCUACACAAGAGGUGCACAAAUAGAUGGAGAAAUGAAGGACGACAGAGCGUGCACGGUCGAAGAAGGGCCAGCGACAACUCGUCAUGCUAUUUCAAUAAUGAUCCUUCCGCAGGUUCACCUACGGAAA